UUUCAAAAUUCCAACCGACAUUCACCACUUCAGUGGUAGGCCUAAGGUACUCAUGCUGGGACAGGUGCUACUUACGUAACGUAGAAUGAUGUUUAUGGAAAUAACUAUGUACGCAAUGGCUUUGUUUGUCACUGCUUGGGGAGUUUUCUUUUCAUGCAGAAGGUUUAAAAUCAUUCUCCAAUAUUUCUUGGGUCAGCCAAGGGACCAAAAGCCUCAAGAAGACACACAUCCAAAUGAAGAAAAAAAAAAGGGAAUGAGUUUUUCUUUUACUACUAUGCAAUGCAAGGUACACAGGAAUGUAUCUACUUACUGAUGGAUUAGUACGAUCAAUCAGUUCAAUGGCAAAGAGAUUUCCCUUGAUGUCAAUUCUUUGUAAUGUGUGUUGAAAGGUGGUUUAAUGUUAUGUAAAGAAAAUGUAAUAAUUAAAUAAAUGAGUUUGUCAUAA